AUUGAACGCUGGCGGCAGGCCUAACACAUGCAAGUCGAACGAGUGGCGGACGGGUGAGUAAUGUCUGGGAAACUGCCUGAUGGAGGGGGAUAACUACUGGACACGGUUGCUAAUACUGCAUACCAUCAGAUGUGCCUAGAUGGGAGUAGCUAGUUGGUGGGGUAACGGCUCACCAAGGCAACGAUGCCUAGCAGGUCUGGGAGGGUGACGAGACACACUGGAGCUGUAGCACGGUCCAGACUCCUAAGGGAGGCAGCAGUGGGGAAUAUUGCGCGAUGGGCGCAAGCCUGAUGCAGCCAGGCCGCGUGUAUGAAGGAGGCCUUCGGGUUGUGAAGUAGUUUCAGCGGGGAAGCGUUACCCGCAGAGGAAGCACCGGCUAACUCCGUGCCAGCAGCCGCGGUAAUAC
rnacentral:rRNA from 1 species